GAUGAACGCUGGCGGCGUGCCUAAUACAUGCAAGUCGAGCGAACAGACGAGGAGCUUGCUCCUCUGACGUUAGCGGCGGACGGGUGAGUAACACGUGGAUAACCUACCUAUAAGACUGGGAUAACUUCGGGAAACCGGAGCUAAUACCGGAUAAUAUAUUGAACCGCAUGGUUCAAUAGUGAAAGACGGUUUUGCUGUCACUUAUAGAUGGAUCCGCGCCGCAUUAGCUAGUUGGUAAGGUAACGGCUUACCAAGGCAACGAUGCGUAGCCGACCUGAGAGGGUGAUCAGCCACACUGGAACUGAGACACGGUCCAGACUCCUACGGGAGGCAGCAGUAGGGAAUCUUCCGCAAUGGGCGAAAGCGUGACGGAGCAACGCCGCGUGAGUGAUGAAGGUCUUCGGAUCGUAAAACUCUGUUAUUAGGGAAGAACAAAUGUGUAAGUAACUAUGCACGUCUUGACGGUACCUAAUCAGAAAGCCACGGCUAACUACGUG
rnacentral:rRNA from 1 species